GAUGAACGCUAGCGGCAGGCCUAAUACAUGCAAGUCGAACGGUGUCUUCGGACAUAGUGGCGCACGGGUGCGUAACACGUAUGCAACCUACCUUACAUUGGGGGAUAGCCUUUCGAAAGGGAGAUUAAUACCGCAUAAGACAGUAGCUGGGCAUCCAGCAGCUGUUAAAGAUUUAUCGAUGUAAGCUGGGCAUGCGUCCAAUUAGCUAGUUGGUGAGGUAACGGCUCACCAAGGCAAUGAUUGGUAGGGGAACUGAGAGGUCAAGCCCCCACACUGGCACUGAGAUACGGGCCAGACUCCUACGGGAGGCAGCAGUAGGGAAUAUUGGGCAAUGGACGCAAGUCUGACCCAGCCAUGCCGCGUGCAGGAUGAAGGCGUUAUGCGUUGUAAACUGCUUUUAUACAGGAAGAAACGACUCUUGCGAGAGGCAUUGACGAUACUGUAUGAAUAAGCACCGGCUAACUCCGUGCCAGCCGCCGCGGUAAAAC
rnacentral:rRNA from 1 species